rfam:Streptococcus iniae ITSA1 contig049, whole genome shotgun sequence.
AAGCUCAAUAAUUGGGCUUUUUUUCUGUGCCUUUAACCUAGAUUUCUUGUUAAUUUAAAAAAAAUAAGCUAUAAUAAAGCAUAGUACUUAGUUUAGAAAGAAGGUGUAGGU